AAAUUUCAUGCUUUAUUUAGAUAGAAGUUAUUAUCUUUGAGCGAAAAUUAUAUUGUUUGAAAUAGAAGUUAUUCUUUUUGAGCAAAAGUUGCACUCUUAAAGUAAAAAUUAUACUACUUUGAGACAAAUCCUGCAAUUUUUGAAUGAAAGUUGUAUUAUUUGAAACAAAAAUUACACUUUUUUGAGAGAAAUUACAGUAUUUAAAACUAUUUGAGACUAAGUUAUACCCUAUAAAAUAGAAAUUGCACUGUUUAAGAUUAAGUUGUACUAGACUUACACCAUUUAAAAUAUUUGAAACUAAGUCUCUA
rnacentral:lncRNA from 1 species